GAUGAACGCUGGCGGCGUGCUUAACACAUGCAAGUCGAACGGAGUACCCCUGAAGGAGUUUUCGGACAACUGAUGGGACUACUUAGUGGCGGACGGGUGAGUAACGCGUGAGUAACCUGCCUUGGAGUGGGGAAUAACAGCUGGAAACAGCUGCUAAUACCGCAUAAUAUGUCUGUGUCGCAUGGCACUGGACAUCAAAGAUUUAUCGCUCUGAGAUGGACUCGCGUCUGAUUAGCUAGUUGGCGGGGUAACGGCCCACCAAGGCGACGAUCAGUAGCCGGACUGAGAGGUUGGCCGGCCACAUUGGGACUGAGACACGGCCCAGACUCCUACGGGAGGCAGCAGUGGGGAAUAUUGGGCAAUGGGCGCAAGCCUGACCCAGCAACGCCGCGUGAAGGAAGAAGGCUUUCGGGUUGUAAACUUCUUUUCUCAGGGACGAAGCAAGUGACGGUACCUGAGGAAUAAGCCACGGCUAACUACGUGCCAGCAGCCGCGGUAAUAC
rnacentral:rRNA from 1 species